rnacentral:misc_RNA from 1 species
UCGAGUUAGGGUCUUCUCAGGCCCGACCUCCCAACCCUUUGUCGAACUUACCACUUGUUGCUUCGGCGGGCCCGCCUCUCUCUCCGGGGAGGGGCCGCCGGAGGACCGUCACAACGUCCUCUGGCCCGCGCCCGUCGACAGCCCCAAUUUUAAAACUCUGAACAAAACGUGUCACAAUCUGAGUAUCUAUUUAAAUAAAGCAA